rnacentral:rRNA from 1 species
GGUUGAUCCUGCCAGUAGUCAUAUGCUUGUCUCAAAGAUUAAGCCAUGCAUGUCUAAGUAUAAACAACUUUAUACCGUGAAACUGCGAAUGGCUCAUUAAAUCAGUUAUCAUUUAUUUGACUGUACUUUACUACUUGGAUAACCGUGGUAAUUCUAGAGCUAAUACAUGCGAAAAAUCCCGACUUCUGGAAGGGAUGUAUUUAUUAGAUAAAAAACCAACGCGGGCAACCGCUUCUCUGGUGAUUCAUAAUAACUGGUCGAAUCGCAUAGCCUUGUGCUGGCGAUGUCUCAUU